CACAUAGGUCUAUGUCAUAGAUCAAAGAACAUCUGAGUUUAUGAAUGCUUGCAUCUCAAACCAGGAGGUUUCAGCGUUGGAUAUUUGAUCACCAGAGGAAUAAGAAAAGGUUUUAACAAACUACUCCCGGGUGUUAAGUUUGAAAUUAAUAACUCUCAGGACGAGUGCACUGAAUACGAUAUAUUCGAUGCUUAUCUUUUCAAUCCUUCCCCGGCUGGGGAAGUUUCUUCUUCAACUUCUGCUUUGACCAAAAAGGCGUCAGAGAACAAUACCCAGGUAGAGACUGCCCUCCUAGGGAACGACUUCUCUAAGUUUUCCAAAGAACAAACUUCCCCGGCUGGGCAAGUUGAAAAAAAGGAGACAGUUGAAUCUCACAGCUCGACCUCUAAUUUUCCCAAAGAAACUUCCCCAGCCAGGGAAGUUUGCGAUGCAAAGGAGACAAUUGAGUCCAAUAGCUCAACCUGUGCUCUGGCAAAAACGACGUUAGAAGACUUGACCAAUAAAGAGACAUCUGUCCUAGGGGAUGACAGCUCUAAAGAUCUUCCAAAAGAGCAAGUUUCCGCGGCUGCGGAUGUUUGCCCAGAAAGGAGUAAAUAUCAGCACUACAAACGA